rnacentral:rRNA from 1 species
AGUCUGGUGCCAGCAGCCGCGGUAAUUCCAGCUCCAAUAGGAUAUAUCAAAGUUGUUGCAGUUAAAAAGCUCGUAGUUGAAUUUCUGGAAGGUAGAAGUGUUUUUUUUAGAGAAGCAAUUUUUUAUGAAAGACGCCGCUUUCCAUUUUGUGGAUUUCUGUUUUGUAUGAGAUAGUUUACUCUAUUUUUAUAUAAAAUACCACUCCGUCACUGAGAGCAAAUUGGAGUGCUCAAAGCAGGCUUUAUUAGCUUUGAACAUUUUAGCUUGGAAUGACAAGAUAUGACUUUUGUUUUAUUUUGUUGGUUAUGAAAUAAAAGUAAUGAUUAACAGGAACAGUUGCGGGGGUACUCGUAUUGAAAGGUCAGAGGUGAAAUUCUUGGAUUCUUUCGAGACGAACGACUGCGAAAGCAUUUACCAAGGAUGUUUUCAUUAAUCAAGAACGAAAGCUCGGGGAUCGAAGAUGAUUAGAUACCAUCGUAGUCCGACGCCAUAAACGAUGCCGACUCGGGAUUAUUUUGUUUGUUUACAUUAAAAAAGAACACAAAGUAGCACCGUAUGAGAAAUCAAAGUCUUUGGGUUCCGGGGGGAGUAUGGUCGCAAGGCUGAAACUUAAAGGAAUUGACGGAAGGGCACACCAGAGGUGGAGCCUGCGGUUUAAUUUGACCCAACACGGGGAAACUUACCAGGUCCAGACAUGAUGAGGAUUGACAGUUUGAAAGCACUUUCUUGAUUUCAUGGGUGGUGGUGCAUGGCCGUUCUUAGUUGGUGGAGUGAUUUGUCUGGUUGAUUCCGAUAACGAACGAGACGGGGUGAAUUUACUAGUUUGUUAUAUAAUUUACGUUAUAUAAGACUUCUUUAUUCGACAACUUGGUUUUACCAAGAGGAAGCGCCCCGCAAUAACAGGUCUGUGAUGCCCUUAGAUGUUCUGGGCUACACGCGCGCUACAAUGACGAAUUCAACGAGUUUAAAAUUUAUUCCUUAUCCGGAAGGAUGUGGGUAAUCUUUUCAAUAUUCGUCGUGAUGGGGCUAGAUUUUUGCAAUUAUUAAUCUUCAACGAGGAAUCUCUAGUAUGUGCAAGUCAUCAGCUUGCGCAGAAUGCGUCCCUGCCCUUUGUACACACCGCCCGUCGCACCUACCGAUUGGACGAUCCGGCAAGAUGUUUGGAGUUGUUUUGAUUGUAGAGUAAUUUAUGAUGAAAAUGACAAAGCUCUUCAAACCUUAUCGUCUAGAGGAAGGUGAAGUCGUAACAAGGUCUCCGUAGGUGAACCUGCGGAGG